GAUGAACGCUGGCGGCGUGCCUAAUACAUGCAAGUCGAGCGAAUGGAUUAAGAGCUUGCUCUUAUGAAGUUAGUGGCGGACGGGUGAGUAACACGUGGGUAACCUGCCCAUAAGACUGGGAUAACUCCGGGAAACCGGGGCUAAUACCGGAUAACAUUUUGAACCGCAUGGUUCGAAAUUGAAAGGCGGCUUCGGCUGUCACUUAUGGAUGGACCCGCGUCGCAUUAGCUAGUUGGUGAGGUAACGGCUCACCAAGGCAACGAUGCGUAGCCGACCUGAGAGGGGGAUCGGCCACACGGGGACUGAGACACGGCCCAGACUCCUACGGGAGGCAGCAGUAGGGAAUCUUCCGCAAUGGACGAAAGUCUGACGGAGCAACGCCGCGUGAGUGAUGAAGGCUUUCGGGUCGUAAAACUCUGUUGUUAGGGAAGAACAAGUGCUAGUUGAAUAAGCUGGCACCUUGACGGUACCUAACCAGAAAGCCACGGCUAACUACGUGCCAGCCGCCGCGGUAA
rnacentral:rRNA from 1 species